GAUGAACGCUGGCGGCGUGCCUAAUACAUGCAUGUCGAGCGAACAGACGAGGAGCUUGCUCCUCUGACGUUAGCGGCGGACGGGUGAGUAACACGUGGAUAACCUACCUAUAAGACUGGGAUAACUUCGGGAAACCGGAGCUAAUACCGGAUAAUAUAUUGAACCGCAUGGUUCAAUAGUGAAAGACGGUUUUGCUGUCACUUAUAGAUGGAUCCGCGCCGCAUUAGCUAGUUGGUAAGGUAACGGCUUACCAAGGCAACGAUGCGUAGCCGACCUGAGAGGGUGAUCGGCCACACUGGAACUGAGACACGGUCCAGACUCCUACGGGAGGCAGCAGUAGGGAAUCUUCCGCAAUGGGCGAAAGCUUGACGGAGCAACGCCGCGUGAGUGAUGAAGGUCUUCGGAUCGUAAAACUCUGUUAUUAGGGAAGAACAAAUGUGUAAGUAACUAUGCACGUCUUGACGGUACCUAAUCAGAAAGCCACGGCUAACUACGUG
rnacentral:rRNA from 1 species